rnacentral:lncRNA from 1 species
ACACAUGAGUACAGCUCACACAGGGAAAGGGGAAAACAGCAACCUCUUGAGCUGGAGCCUUAGGCUAGAAAAGAUCACUGAUUACCCACCUGUUCCCCCUGGAUACUAGGGCUUCAAUCCAGAAGGUGCUGUGAUGAAGUGGCUUCAGCAAAAUAUUACCUGAGACAUCCUGAUCCAUUAUGAGAACGGCAGCAGCAGGAUUUGGCCUGGGGAUGGAACAAAGGGACCCCCUGCUGUAGAGCAAGGGAGAAGGGAAUUUUAAAGAAGAGAUUGCAUCAAUAAAGAUUCUUUUAGCAUUAUUUUUAUCAUUAUAAAAAUUACACAUACUUGUUUUAGAUUAUUUGAAAACUUCAGAGCUGUAAAGAUGAAAAUAAAAAUUGCUUAUUAUCUUAAUCGGCAAAAUUAACCAUCCUUAACAUUUUUAUAUGUCUUUUAGUUAUUUUGUAUGCCUAUGUUUAUAAUGAAACAGUUUUGAAUUUUUUAACGUAUU